rnacentral:rRNA from 1 species
UUGUCUGUACUGGUGAGAUGAGUCUCUACCUUCUGAGGAACUUUCAUGCCAUUCGUUUGGUGUGAUGGGAAAUCAGGACUGUUACUUUGAAAAAAUUAGGGUGUUUAAAGCAGGCUAACGUCUGAAUACAUUAGCAUGGAAUAAUGAAAUAGGACGGAUUGAUUCUAUUUCGUUGGUUUCUAGGGUCACCGUAAUGAUUAAUAGGGAUAGUUGGGGGCAUUAGUAUUCAAUUGUCAGAGGUGAAAUUCUUGGAUUUAUUGAAGACUAACUACUGCGAAAGCAUUUGCCAAGGAUGUUUUCAUUAAUCAAGAACGAAAGUUAGGGGAUCGAAGACGAUCAGAUACCGUCGUAGUCUUAACCAUAAACUAUGCCGACUAGGGAUCGGACGCAGUUAAUUUUAUAAUGACGUGUUCGGCACCUUACG